rnacentral:lncRNA from 1 species
GCUGGUGAUACCCUCGUGGACGAAACGUCCACCAGCAGUGGUGUAAAUAGUUAUUAAAGGUAAACAAGAAAUAACAAAUACUAAACUCCAAAGUAAAUUCAGAAAGGUGACAGUUCAUUAAACCCGCCACAACCAUAAGCUCGAUUACACAAAACAACGGAACGAUUGGAAAAUAAAUUUCUUACUUGCUACAGCCAUUUCC